rnacentral:rRNA from 1 species
AUUGAACGCUGGCGGCAGGCUUAAUACAUGCAAGUCGAGCGCAGUGGGGACGGGUGAGUAACACGUGGGUAACCUCCCAUCAGAGGGGAUAACUCUUGGAAACAGGUGCUAAACCCAUACUGGAGGAUGGACUCGCGGUGCAUUAGCUAGUUGGUGAGGUAACGGCUCACCAAGGCCACGAUGCAUAGGCGACCUGAGAGGGUGAGCGGCAAGACUGGGACUGAGACACGGCCCAGACUCCUACGGGCGGCAGCAGUAGGGAAUAUUCGGCAAUGGACGAAAGUCUGACAGAGCAAUGCCGAGUGAGUGAAGAAGGUUUGAGGAUCGUAAAACUCUGUUGUUAGAGAAGCGGUAUCUAACCAGAAAGCCACGGCUAACUACGUGCCAGCAGCCGCGGUAAUAC